rnacentral:rRNA from 1 species
UGGGGAAUAUUGGACAAUGGGCGCAAGCCUGAUCCAGCCAUGCCGCGUGAGUGAUGAAGGCCUUAGGGUUGUAAAGCUCUUUCACCGGAGAAGAUAAUGACGGUAUCCGGAGAAGAAGCCCCGGCUAACUUCGUGCCAGCAGCCGCGGUAAUACGAAGGGGGCUAGCGUUGUUCGGAAUUACUGGGCGUAAAGCGCACGUAGGCGGAUCGAUCAGUCAGGGGUGAAAUCCCAGAGCUCAACUCUGGAACUGCCUUUGAUACUGUCGAUCGAGAGUAUGGAAGAGGUGAGUGGAAUUCCGAGUGUAGAGGUGAAAUUCGUAGAUAUUCGGAGGAACGCCAGUGGCGAAGGCGGCUCACUGGUCCAUUACUGACGCUGAGGUGCGAAAGCGUGGGGAGCAAACAGG